GGGGAUUUAGCUCAGCGGUAGAGCGCUUGCCUAGUGAGCGUAAGGCCCUGGGUUCGGUCCCCAGCUCCG
rfam:Rattus norvegicus chromosome 3, whole genome shotgun sequence.